rnacentral:rRNA from 1 species
GACGGAGGAUGCAAGCGUUAUCCGGAAUUAUUGGGCCUAAAGCAUCCGUAGCCGGUUCUACAAGUCUUCCGUUAAAUCCAACUGCUUAACAGGUGGGCUGCGGAAGAUACUAUAGAGCUAGGAGGCGGGAGAGGCAAGCGGUACUCGAUGGGUAGGGGUAAAAUCCGUUGAUCCAUUGAAGACCACCAGUGGCGAAGGCGGCUUGCCAGAAUGCGCUCGACGGUGAGGGAUGAAAGCUGGGGGAGCAAACCGG